rnacentral:misc_RNA from 1 species
AAAAUAAAAUAAAAUAAAACAAAACCAAAAUUUCACAUACUUAAAACCAAAUCACACUUGUUGCUGCACAUGCAUAUGCAUCUAUAUCUUCUACUCCAAUUCCAGUAGUCCCCAAGCUAACAGUGGACUUGCCGUGCAUAGCAACAACACUAACAAAAAUUCUAGAAUAUAUAAUUUAUAUUAUGUUAUCAUAUUAUAAAGAGUUAGAAAGAACCAUAUUUUAGUCUUUAGUUUAUAAUUAUAUCAUUUUUUUUUAUUCUUUACACAGUCAAUACUCUUAAAUCUUAUUAAAUGUAUAGCGUUUGGAUUAGUGCCGGCUUAUGGUAGUCUAAACUCUAAAGCAUUUACUUCGUACUAAAAAGUUUGGGUGUAGUAUUGUUCAAAAAUGGCUUCCAAGUCCUAGAAAAGGGAUCUGAAGUCAAUAUAUUUGUUAAAACUUCAUAUUUUGAAAUUUUUUUUUUUGGGUUGACAUGGAUAUAUUUUGUUGUCAAAUGAUUUUGAGAACUUUAACCAAACCUUACAAUUUGAUUCUCGAGUCACCAAAUGAGGAUUCCAUAUCUCAAUUUAACAACUACCAUAUUGAGUAUGGUUUUUCUAGCUCAAAUUUAGAUAUACUCGUCAAUGAUAUGAAAUCUUGGGACAGUGUCAACUGUUGCUGAGAGAAACUAUGGAUAAAUUACCUGAAUGCAGAAACGAACAGUGU